CUUUAAUAGCCGAAAUGAUGCUCCCGAGUGUUUGAAGUAUUGGUCGAUUCACUGAGGCGAAUCCAACGUCUCUCUGUCGCAAAGUCCUCUCCACCUUCCCUCCCCUCCUUCUGCCAACAUUUGAAGACAUAACCGUCGGCUUUGUGCUGCCAAUUCAGGGUUCCGAUGCCGGAAUUCUUCAGGCAAGGUAUGCUCCGCUGGCGCUAGGGAUUUGAUUCUUGAUGGCGGUGGCUCUAUCCGUAGUUGAACCGUGUGGCAUGUGUUUCGGUGGGAGACGAUUGAGAAGCUUGAUUAUUCUUCAUGCCCAGAGAGGAUAUUGGAGUAGGAUGAGUGGGAAAACGAGGUUGGGUCAUUUCUUGCUCUCCAAUGUGUGGAACAUCUCUUGUCGGUCGAAGCACAAGUUUUCUGAGAAUUUUCUUGAAGAAGUCGACAAGUAUGCCGCAGCAAGGGUCCCGGACAAGUCAAAGUUGCUCAGUAAGGUAGCAGCUUUGAUGGAGUAUGAUGGCAUGGACGAUUUCAUUGAGAAAGGAAAUUUUGAUAAGAAAUAUGAUGAGCAACUAAAAACUGAUGCUGCAUUGGCGUGUAAGAGGUUCCCUUCUAUUGUUCUUGGCGAUUCUCCUCCAGUGGAACUAUACGACGACAACGUGUCUUUCCCAAAAUCAAGGAGCAUUUUGAACUCACCAGCAAAUAACGGUUUUCUUCCCAGCUCCAUGCAUGUAGGGUGGAUUGAUCCGGCCGAUCUUUCUGAGCCAUUAUCUUCCUUGUGUCCAGAGCUUGACAAUGUCGAUGACCAAGAAGAAAAAUCAACUGGUUCUCCUCUUGCCGGUCAAGCUGUGAUCCCAGAAGCAGUUGCAAUAUCAGAUGAUUCUGACUAUGUAAUCACGUCUAUUGAAGAGUGUGAACUACAACAUACUGGUCUUGCCUCCGAGUUUUUUCUUGAUAGUUCGAUAAGUUUUAUACCUAGAUUAAGUAAGAGGAACUAUAAUCAGCUGGAGAGCUGCGGCUUUCACACGAUGAGGAAACUGUUGCACCAUUUUCCUCGAACUUAUGCAGAUUUGCAGAAUGCACAAGUUGAUAUCAGAGAUGGACAGUAUUUAAUAUUUGUCGGCAAAAUCUUGUCUUCCAGGGGAGUCAGAGCUGGUUCUUCAUUUUCAUUUCUUGAGGUUAUUGUCAGUUCUGAGAUUUCAGGCAGAGACAAAACUCCAGUGAAUCUGAAUCUGAAUUUUGAUGCUGACAACGAAGAAAAGAGAAUAAUUUAUUUGCAUCUCAAAAAGUUUUUCCGUGGUACACGCUUUGUUUAUCAACCUUUUCUCAAAAGUCUUCAGGAGAAACAUAGACCAGGAGACCUUGUAUGUGUUAGUGGGAAGGUGAAGACCUUGCAUGCAGAAGAUCACUUUGAGAUUAGGGAAUACAAUAUCGAUGUACUCAAAGAUGAGAAGGAAUCAUCUCUUCGAACCCAGGGGAGACCAUAUCCCAUAUACCCGUCGAAAGGAGGUCUGAAUGCAAACUUUCUUAGAGAUAUCAUUGCCAGGGCUUUGCAAGUUUUGCCUGUCAAUAUUGAUCCUAUACCUUAUGAAAUCACUAAAGUUUUUGGUCUUCCGUCUCUUCAUAAUGCAUAUAUCGGUAUUCACCAGCCGAAGAAUUUAGAUGAGGCUGAUUUAGCUCGCAAAAGACUUAUAUUCGAUGAGUUCUUUUACCUACAGUUGGGACGCUUGUACCAAAUGCUUCAAGGCCUUGGCACAAAAAUAGAGAAAGAUGUAUUGCUGGAUAAGUUUAGGAAGCCAGUGUUAAAUUCUGUUUUUAUGGAAGGAUGGUCCAUUCUCACCAAGAGUUUUCUGAAGGCUCUACCAUAUUCCCUUACCCCUAGCCAGCUAAGUGCUGUAUCAGAAAUAAUAUGGGAUCUAAAGCGUCCAGUUCCAAUGAAUCGCCUUUUGCAGGGUGAUGUUGGUUGUGGAAAAACUGUAGUUGCUUUCUUGGCAUGCAUGGAGGUCGUAGGAUCUGGGUACCAGGCAGCGUUCAUGGUCCCCACAGAACUGCUUGCCAUUCAGCAUUAUGAGCACUUGCGGGAUCUGCUAGACAAUAUGGAGGAGGUUGCAUACAAGCCAACCAUUGCGCUGCUUACAGGUUCAACCUCGGCAAAACAGUCAAGAAUGAUUCGUCAGGAUCUCCAAACGGGAGCUAUCUCAAUUGUAAUUGGAACUCAUAGUCUGAUUGCUGAAAAGAUAGAGUUCUCUGCAUUACGUAUUGCUGUGGUUGACGAACAGCACCGGUUUGGUGUCAUCCAGAGAGGAAGAUUUAACAGCAAGUUGUAUGGCACCUCAAUGAUAUCCAAAACCACUUCAGAUGACUUGGAUGGAACUUCUAAAGCUGGUUACCACAUGGCUCCUCAUGUUCUCGCAAUGUCAGCCACCCCUAUCCCGAGGUCACUUGCCUUAGCUUUAUAUGGAGACAUAUCGUUGACUCAAAUUACUGGUUUGCCUCCAGGAAGAAUACCGGUUGAAACAUACAUUUUUGAAGGAAAUGAAGAUGGCUUUGAGAAAGUCUACUCUAUGAUGCUGGUUGAACUUAAAUCUGGAGGGAAAGUGUACCUUGUUUAUCCUGUUAUUGAACAAUCAGAGCAACUGCCUCAGCUUCGCGCUGCCUCUGCAGAACUCGAAUCUAUAUCUGGUAGAUUUCCAGAGUAUAGCUGUGGACUAUUACAUGGAAAGAUGAAGAGUGAUGAAAAAGAAGAGGCUCUGAGAAAUUUCAGAUGUGGAGAGACACAGAUACUGCUCUCCACACAGGUGAUCGAGAUAGGAGUUGACGUUCCGGAUGCCUCCAUGAUGGUUGUGAUGAAUGCUGAAAGAUUCGGAAUUGCUCAGUUACACCAACUCAGAGGGCGGGUUGGUCGCGGAACUAGAAAAUCGAAAUGCUUAUUAAUAGGGUCAAGUGUCAACAGCCUAAGCCGGUUGAAGGUGUUGGAGAAAUCGUCAGAUGGGUUUUACUUGGCAAAUAUAGACCUCCUUCUGCGUGGACCAGGCGAUUUACUUGGAAAAAAACAAUCUGGACACUUGCCCGAGUUCCCAGUUGCUAGGCUGGAAAUAGACGGGAAUAUUCUACAAGAAGCCCAUGUUGCCGCAUUGAAAGUUCUAGGGGAUUCUCACGACCUGGAGAAGUUCCCAGGGCUCAAAGCUGAGCUUAGCAUGAGACAGCCACUUUCUCUUCUUGGCGACUAAAGUUUCAGAGUCCAAAUCUAGCCUUGCCUUAGUCGUGAACUAGAUGCUUGGAGAUGAUGGAAAUGUAUGGUAAAAUAUGGGGAUCUGCAUAUUUCCAUGUAGAGGCAUAGAUUCAUAAGGACCGAAGAAAGUAACGAAGAAGAUAAUGGUGAAAUAAUCGGGAGAUGGGAAAGGGAUCGUGUUUCAUUGUCUUUGUAAUGAUGGUGGACCCACAUGCCAUCCACUCAAGAUCGAAGCAUGGGUUGAUAUGGCAACCAAUGAGCAGAUCACGGAAGUAGAAGAAGACAAAGAGACAAGUGGUGGCCCACACAUUGUUCCCUACCCAAUCAUCCAACUACGGGACCCACCGACCUCCUUGUCCCUCCCUUGUAAUCCUAAUCAGUGAUCACAAAGCUUUGUCCCCUCACCUGACCUGACCACCCACUUCUCUCCCUUGAAACUUGUGUGUUUGAUCGUUGUUUCUCAUCUCAUCGACAUAUACUCUUUAGCAAUCCUUUUGUUUGGUGCGUGGCAAGGGUCCUUGAUCAUUGUGCAUGUGCAUGUGGUAGAGAGACUUGGAACGUGGGAUAUAGAUCAUGUCAGUUUUGGAGUUAUAGGUGUGUUUUAAUGAGUCGCGGGGGAUUGCAUUAAGAUGGCAGUGACAUAAUGAACAAAAUAGAUGAGGAGGAAAAAGCAGCAUUGCCUUAAAUCCCAUUUGGGAACAUUUCUUGUUGUAAUUUGAUGUCUGCAAUACCAAAAGCCAUUCCUUGUAACUAUGCGGCUUUAAUUAA